UCGCAGUCAAUUAAGCCGACCGGCUCUCAUCGCAGUUGGGUACCGGUGUGCAAUGGCUGCGGACAGCAAGUCUUUGGUUGUGUAUGAGCCCGGCUGUUCCUCUGUGCUGGGUGUCUAAAGGGACCUCUGGGACACGG